UCCAACAUGGAUUGCUCAUUGGGACCUCAUCAAAUUGCAGUUUAAGGAGGAGUGGGCAUUGAUCUGAAAUAACAAUUGCGGUUCUUCACAGCUGGUGCCACCUCAUUGAAACCUGGUUCUCAGAGACUCCUCCUGAAGAUCAUCUCCUCUUCUGUCUGGCCCGAAUCCCAAGAGACAUCUCUGCACUCCAGUCGACCACUGCUCCUCCAUGUUCUCAGCCAUAUCUCCAACAGGCCUGUCCACCCUCUGGCAUAAGAGAACCAUCUGUCUGCAACCGCACUUCCACCAGCACCGACCUCUAUCUGUCAGUCACCUCCAGGCCACCACUUAUCACCAAUGCUUCUGUGACCGGAGCCUUUCCAAUUGGCCAAUCCCUGUUCCAUCCCCUGCAUCUGCCCAUUUUUCCAUUCCCUCAAUAAACCUUUAAAACUACC